rnacentral:rRNA from 1 species
ACAAUAAAUCACUAAUUGUUCGCCAAAUAACUACGAGUAAAAACUUAAAAUUUAAAAGACUUGACGGUACCUCACAACAGCCUAGAGGAGCCUGUUCAAUAACCGAUACUCCACGAUUAAUCCAACCCCCCCUAGCCUACCAGUCUAUAUACCGCCGUCGCCAGCCUACCUUAUGAAAGAAACAAAGUAAGCCAAAUAGUCACACACUAACACGACAGGUCGAGGUGUAACUAAUGAGGGGGCCUAGAAUGGGCUACAUUUUCUAAAUUAGAUAAUACGAAUAAACCAUGAAAUAAGAAACUGAAGGCGGAUUUAGCAGUAUACUACGAACAAAAUACCUAGUCGAAACUAACGCAAUGAGGUGCGUACACACCGCCCGUCAUCCC